UCCACAGUAACUCAGUGGUAGAGCUAUCGGCUGUUAACCGAUCGGUCGUAGGUUCGAGUCCUACCUGUGGAGCCA
rnacentral:tRNA from 1 species